GGGGAUUUAGCUCAGUGGCAUAAGCACCUGCCUUGCAAGCAGGCGGUCAUGAGUUCGAUCCCCAGUACCGCUA
rnacentral:tRNA from 1 species